rnacentral:rRNA from 1 species
UACAGAGGGGGCAAGCGUUGUUCGGAAUUACUGGGCGUAAAGGGCGCGUAGGCGGCCUGCUAAGUCGAACGUGAAAUCCCCGGGCUCAACCCGGGAACUGCGUCCGAUACUGGCAGGCUUGAAUCCGGGAGAGGGAUGUGGAAUUCCAGGUGUAGCGGUGAAAUGCGUAGAUAUCUGGAGGAACACCAGCGGCGAAGGCGGCGUCCUGGACUGGUACUGACGCUCAGGAGCGAAAGCGUGGGGAGCGAUCCGG